rnacentral:rRNA from 1 species
UACGUAGGGGGCAAGCGUUGUCCGGAAUCAUUGGGCGUAAAGCGCGUGUAGGCGGCCAGGUAAGUCCGUUCUGAAAGCCCGGGGCUCAACCCCGGGAGGCGGAUGGAUACUGCUUGGCUCGAGUCCGGAAGAGGUGAGUGGAAUUCCCGGUGUAGCGGUGAAAUGCGCAGAUAUCGGGAGGAACACCAAUGGCGAAGGCAGCUCACUGGGACGGUACUGACGCUGAGACGCUAAAGCGUGGGGAGCAAACAGG